rnacentral:rRNA from 1 species
AAAUUGAAGAGUUUGAUCAUGGCUCAGAUUGAACGCUGGCGGCAGGCCUAACACAUGCAAGUCGAACGGUAACAGGAAACAGCUUGCUGUUUCGCUGACGAGUGGCGGACGGGUGAGUAAUGUCUGGGAAACUGCCCGAUGGAGGGGGAUAACUACUGGAAACGGUAGCUAAUACCGCAUAACGUCGCAAGACCAAAGAGGGGGACCUUCGGGCCUCUUGCUAUCGGAUGUGCCCAGAUGGGAUUAGCUAGUAGGUGGGGUAACGGCUCACCUAGGCGACGAUCCCUAGCUGGUCUGAGAGGAUGACCAGCCACACUGGAACUGAGACACGGUCCAGACUCCUACGGGAGGCAGCAGUGGGGAAUAUUGCACAAUGGGCGCAAGCCUGAUGCAGCCAUGCCGCGUGUAUGAAGAAGGCCUUCGGGUUGUAAAGUACUUUCAGCGGGGAGGAAGGGAGUAAAGUUAAUACCUUUACUCAUUGACGUUACCCGCAGAAGAAGCACCGGCUAACUCCGUGCCAGCAGCCGCGGUAAUACGGAGGGUGCAAGCGUUAAUCGGAAUUACUGGGCGUAAAGCGCACGCAGGCGGUUUGUUAAGUCAGAUGUGAAAUCCCC